CCGCAAGCAGAGGAAGCAUUAGUUUUGUUUUUAUUUAUGUUCUGUAUUCCAGAAAGUAGUUAAGAGACCUCACAUGUAGCGAUAGAGAUGUGUGUAAGAGACAGUGAGAGGGCGUGACUUGGACUUAAGCAAGGACCGUGAGACACAAAAAGGGGGGUGAGGACAGAGUGGAGUCAGCUGAAAUGCUCAGGAGGAAGUAGACGCCAUGAAGGGCCAUGGUAUGGGGGGCCGCAGGCGUGGCCGUGAGUGUCCCUGGGGCCAGCUCUUGGGGGGCUCCCUGAGUGUCCCUGUCCCUGUGGCCAGUUCUGGGUGGGAGCCCCGUGUGCAGGCAGACAGCUCGGCCACUUCCUAGCAGGUCACAUUGGUCUGUGCUUCUGUUUCCUCCUCAGAUAAGUGAAGGGAUUCAAGGGUCUGGGUGUGGUGGCUAACACCUGUAAUCUAUAACAUUUUAGGAGGCUGAGGCAGGAGGCUUACCUGAGCUCAGGAGGUUGAGGCUGCAGUGAGCCAUGAUUGCACCACUGCACUCCAGCCUGGGCAACAGACCAGUACUCUGUCCCUUAAAAAAAAAUGUAAACAGAAACGUAGGGCCAUUUGCAUAUGAUGGCACAUGGCGUGGAGCCCUACAGGUGUAUGCUGGGCGGGGCCCGGCUGUGCUGGCCGACUUGCACCUUUCCCUCCACCCCGGUGCUGUGUCUUUCGCUCACCGGGUUCCUGAUUUAGUGAAAGCAGUUGUGCAGGACAGUUCUCUUUGUAGCUUUUGUUUCUGUGGAAAUGGGUCAGAAUAUGGUGUUUAGAAACACUUAUGAGCUCUGAGAGUUUCCUCUUCUGAGUUCCUGGCCUGCAGCCUUCACAGCAGAAACCCUGUGAUGUCACAAGCCUGUUUCUGUUCCCUGCUCUCUGCCUGUACUGUCCUGUUUUGUGCCUGCCGGUUUCAGUGACAGGAAGCAGGGAGCUACUGGACCAGCCUGUAUUUUUCUAGACAUAGUUGGAAAAAGAAGUCCCACUCUUCUGUCCUUUCACCUUUGACAGAUGUUUCCACCCCAAGAUAAGUGAAAAUGACCAAUAGGAUGCACUGUAUUUUUCAUGAAAGUGUUUCUGAAGGGCAGGCUGAGAGUGAGAGGCCUGGGGCUCACUGGGUGCCUCUGGCCUUGUCCUGGGCCCAGGGACACUGGUCUGUGCCCGAGGUAUUCCCUAUCCCCCCAACCCCGCUGCAUUUGGCCACAUCCUUCAAUGUUUGCGUUGUGUCCAGCGUCCGCAAACCAACUGUCAUGGGAUCAUACUGGGGCUGAAGUACGGUCCCACCCCUGCCCUGUCUGGGGCUGAAGUACAGUGCCACCCCUGCCCUGUCUGGGGCUGAAGGACAGUGCCACCCCUGCCCUGUCUGGGGCUGAAGUACAGUGCCACCCCUGCCCUGUCUGGGGCUGAAGGACAGUGCCACCCCUUCCCUGUCUGGGGCUGAAGGACAGUGCCACCCCUGCCCUGUCUGGGGCUGAAGGACAGUGCCACCCCUGCCCUGUCUGGGGCUGAA
rnacentral:lncRNA from 1 species